rnacentral:rRNA from 1 species
AUGUGUAUUCCCAAGAAAGAAGGGGGUAUGGGCUUCAGAGAUAUUCACUGCUUUAAUCUUGCACUUCUGGCAAAACAGGCAUGGCGCCUUAUUGACUACCCGGACUCUUUGUGUGCAUUGAUCCUUAAGGCGAAAUAUUUUCCUGAUGGAGAUCUCAUGAAUGCAACUUUAAAAAAGAAGGCUUCAUAUACAUGGCGGAGUAUUAUGGCUGGAGUUGAUACGCUCAGACGUGGGUAUAUUUGGAGAGUUGGUGAUGGUGAGAAAAUUAGCAUAUGGGAUGAUCCCUGGAUACCUCAUAGCCCAACAAGAAAGGUGAUUUCACCAAGGGGAAACAAUCUUCUUUCUAGAGUUUCUAACCUCAUUGAUCCGGUGACAAGGAGUUGGGAUGAGCAGCUGGUUAACCAAAUGUUCUGGCAAGUGGAUGUUCGAAGGAUUUUGUCCAUUCCACUACCAUUACAUGAGAUGACAGAUUUCCUGGCAUGGAACAUGACAAAGUCAGGGACUUUCACGGUGCGAUCUGCAUACCAUACAGAAUGGGAAUUUCAAUUUGGGCACAAGUUGGAAUCAACGGCUGGAGCUUCAAACCCAUCUUAUACAUGGGACUCGGUAUGGAACUUAGUCUGCCCAGCAAUGAUAAAAAUAUUUAUGUGGCGCGCACUCCAGAGUGCUAUUCCCUGUCAAUCUAUCCUGGCUAAUAAGCACUUGAAAAUGAAUCUGAGUUACCCAGCCUAUAACUAGGGGCCUGAUGACAUAAGACAUAUGUUGUUCGAAUGCAAAUUGGCAAUGGACGUGUGGAAGAUGCUCGGUCUUGAGCUUGUUAUC